GUGCUAUCUUCCUUGCCUGUUCAAGCCAGUAACUAAAAACAUUGGCAUUCUGCGGGAUUAGCAAUGUGUACAUUGCAGGUUUUAAAUUAAUCUAGUAGCUGUAACACUGAUAGCCACAAAAGAUACAACAGCAGAAAUAUAGUGAAAAGUGGAUUUCUCCAUUAGCUGGUCUCAGAGACAUUUGAUUGGCGGAGCUUGACAUAUUGCCACACAUGCGCACUUACCUGAGAUUGGCAGCGCGGAGACAGUCGCUAC